rnacentral:rRNA from 1 species
GUGGGGAAUUUUGGACAAUGGGCGCAAGCCUGAUCCAGCCAUGCCGCGUGUCUGAAGAAGGCCUUCGGGUUGUAAAGGACUUUUGUCAGGGAAGAAAAGGCUGUUGCUAAUAUCGACAGCUGAUGACGGUACCUGAAGAAUAAGCACCGGCUAACUACGUGCCAGCAGCCGCGGUAAUACGUAGGGUGCGAGCGUUAAUCGGAAUUACUGGGCGUAAAGCGAGCGCAGACGGUUACUUAAGCAGGAUGUGAAAUCCCCGGGCUCAACCUGGGAACUGCGUUCUGAACUGGGUGACUAGAGUGUGUCAGAGGGAGGUAGAAUUCCACGUGUAGCAGUGAAAUGCGUAGAGAUGUGGAGGAAUACCGAUGGCGAAGGCAGCCUCCUGGGAUAACACUGACGUUCAUGCUCGAAAGCGUGGGUAGCAAACAGGGUUAGAUACCCUGGUAGUCCACGCCCUAAACGAUGUCAAUUAGCUGUUGGGCAACUUGAUUGCUUAGUAGCGUAGCUAACGCGUGAAAUUGACCGCCUGGGGAGUACGGUCGCAAGAUUA